rnacentral:rRNA from 1 species
AAAUCUCACCAGACCCGAACAUCUCUAACGAUUGACAGAUUGAAAGCUCUUUCUUAAUGAAGUGGAUGGUGGUGCAUGGCCGUUCUUAGUUGGUGGAGUGAUCUGUCUGGUUAAUUCCGAUAACGAACGAGACUCUCCCCUGCUAACGGACCUUAGUGUUUUUCUAGACGGUGUGAUUCGGAGCAAGAGUCCAUGGGCGUAAGCCCCGGUCUCGGACGAUGUCCACUGAUCCUUGGUGCGUUGGUGUUCCGCGUGCCAUCGGAGAGUUGAGUGUUCGCAUUCUUCGCCUCUGUGGAUUUCUCGGUUCAUUGACAAAGCGCCUCGGAGUACGUUUCUUCUUAGAGGGAUUGACGACUUAUAAGUCGUAAGAAACAGGGAGCAAUAACAGGUCUGUGAUGCCCUUAGAUGUUCUGGGCUGCACGCGUGUUACAAUGCCGGUAUCAACGGGUUAUUACACUUUUAGUGGCCUACUCCGAAAGGAGUGGGUAAACCUUUGAAAUACCAACUGCGUCUGUCUUCAUUGACAGUGCAAUUACGGCAUGCUUGGGACUGGGGAUUGCAAUUAUUCCCCACAAACUAGGAAUGCCUUGUAGUGGCGGGUCACAGAGCCCGCUGCGAAUCUGUCCCUGCCCUUUGUACACACCGCCCGUCGCUACUACCGAUUGAGUGUACCAGUGAGAUUUUUGGACUGGCGAACCGCAAGCC